rnacentral:rRNA from 1 species
GACAGAGGUCCCGAGCGUUAGGCGGAAUCACUGGGCUUAAAGCGUGUGUAGGCGGAUUGGUAAGUACCUUGUGAAAUCCCACGGCUUAACCGUGGAACUGCUUGGUAUACUGCUUAUCUUGGGCCACUUAGGGGUUACCGGAACAAACGGUGGAGCGGUGAAAUGCGUAGAUAUCGUUUGGAACGCCGAAGGUGAAAACAGCUCGCUGGGGCUGCGCUGACGCUGAGACACGAAAGCCAGGGGAGCGAACGGG